CCUUGUUGAUCCUGCCAGUAGUCAUGUGCUUGUCUCAAAGAUUAAGUCAUGCAUGUGUAAGUAUGAACGAAUUCAGACGGUGAAACUGCGAAUGGCUCAUUAAAUCAUGUAUAGUUUGUUUGAUGGUAACUACUACUCGGAUAACCGUAGUAAUCCUAGAGCUAAUACGUGCAACAAAACCCGACUUCUGGAAGGGAUGCAUUUUUUAGAUAAAAGGUCGACGCUGGCGCUUGGCCCGUUGCUCUGAUGAUACAUGAUAACUCGACGGAUCGCUUGGCCUUAGUGCUGGCGAGCCAUCAUUCAAAUUUCUGCCCUAUCAACUUUCGAUGGUAGGUUAGUGGCCUACCAUGGUGGACACGGGUGAACGGAGAAAGGGUUUCGAGUUCGCGGAGAGGGAGCCUGAGAAACGGCUACCGCAUCCAAGGAAGGCAGCAAGCGCGCAAAUUAACCAAUCCUGACACGGGGAGUUAGUGACAUAAAUAGCAAUAUCGGGCUCUUUGAGUCUGGUAAUUGGAAUUAGUACAAUCUAAAUACCUUAACCAGGAUCCAUUGGAGGGCACGUCUGGCGCCAGCAGCCGCGGAAAUUCCAGCUCCAAUAGCGUAUAUUUUAGUUGUUGCAGUUAAAAGUCUCGUAGUUGAACCUUGUGAUUGGUCGCCCGGUCCGUCUUCGGUGAGCACCGGUCCGCUUGUCUCCUCUGUCGGCGAUACGCUCCUGGCCUUAACUUGGCGGGUCGUGCCUCCCGGGCCGUUUCUUUGGAGAAAUUAGAGUGCUCAAGGCAAGCCUACGCUUUGUAUACAUUAGCAUGGGAUACCAUCAUAGGAUUUCGAUCCUAUUGUGUUGGCCUUCGGGAUGGGAGUAAUGAUUAACAGGGACAGUUGGGGGCAUUCGUAUUUCAGAUAGUCAGGGGUGAAAUUCGAUUGAGGAUUUAUGACAGGACGAACAACUGCGAAAGGAUUUGCAAGGAUGUUUUCAUUAUCAAGAACGAAAGUUGGUAGGGCUCGAAGACGAUCAGAUACAUUCCUAGAAAUCACAACAAGCUCGACCAGUGAUCAGCGGAUGUUGAUUUUAGGACUCUGCUGGCACUAGUAUGAGAAAUCAAGUUUUGGGUUCCGGGGGGAGUAUAUGGUCGCAAGGCUGAAACUUAAAGGAAUUGACGGAAGGGCGCCAUCAGGAGUGGAGCCUGCGGGUCUAAUUUGACUCAACACGGGAAACUUACCAGGUCCAGAACUAGUAAGGUAUUGACAGACUGAGAGCUCUUUCUUGAUUCUAUGGGUGGUGGUGCUGGCGGUUCUUAGUUGUGGAGCGAUUUGUCUGGUUAGAUUCCGUUAACGAACUGAGACCUCAGCUGCUAACUAGCUACGUGGAGCAUCCCUUCCGGCCGGCUUCUUAGAGGGCUAUGGCCGUUUAGGCCAGGAAGUUUGAGCAAUAACAAGGUUGUGAUGCCCUUAGAUGUCUGGUGCCGCACGCGCUCUACACUGAUUUAUUAAACGAGUUCACACCAUUGGCGACAGGACCCGGGUAAUCUUUGAAAUUUCAUCGUGAUGGUGGAUAUAUCAUUGCAAUUGUUGGUCUUAAACGGAGGAAUUCCUAGUAAGGGCAGUCAUCAGCAUCGCGUUGGCUUAGUCCCUGCCCUUUGUCCAUCCGCCCGUCGCUCCUACACAUUGAAUGAUCCGGUGAAUGUUCGAUCGCGGCGACGUGGGGUGGUUCGCCGUCUGCGACGUCGCGAGAAGUCACUAAACCUUAUCAUUUAGAGGAAGAGGAAGUCGGUCCAACAGGACCUUCGGUGUGAACCUCGAGG
rnacentral:rRNA from 1 species